CUCUCAGUAAAAUUCAUGCUUCGGAAACAGGUGGACACAUGCCUAACUCACUGUACUAUCCCCCAGCAACUGUGACCUCCCCAAGAACCCCCUGUUCAUCGCGUGUGGCGGCCAGCGAAACAACAGCCACAGCUCAAAAGUGCAGAAAAAUGGUUUCUAUAGGAAUUUGACUGCAUCUGUAAUCAAGCACACUGGAAAAAAUAUAAACUAUACAGAAAGAGGCGUGUUCUAUCACGUGGAUUCCUGG
rnacentral:lncRNA from 1 species